ACAACUUUCGGCAACGGAUAUCUUGGCUCUUGCAUCAAUAAAAAACCCAC
rnacentral:rRNA from 1 species